AACGAACGCUGGCGGCAUGCCUAACACAUGCAAGUCGAACGAGACCUUCGGGUCUAGUGGCGCACGGGUGCGUAACGCGUGGGAACCUGCCCUUAGGUUCGGAAUAACUCCCCGAAAGGGGUGCUAAUACCGGAUAAUGUCUUCGGACCAAAGAUUUAUCGCCUUUGGAUGGGCCCGCGCUGGAUUAGCUAGUUGGUAGGGUAAAAGCCUACCAAGGCGACGAUCCAUAGCUGGUCUGAGAGGAUGAUCAGCCACACUGGGACUGAGACACGGCCCAGACUCCUACGGGAGGCAGCAGUGGGGAAUAUUGGACAAUGGGCGAAAGCCUGAUCCAGCAAUGCCGCGUGAGUGAUGAAGGCCCUAGGGUUGUAAAGCUCUUUUACCCGGGAUGAUAUUGACAGUACCGGGAGAAUAAGCUCCGGCUAACUCCGUG
rnacentral:rRNA from 1 species